CGCUGUAUGGAUUUGGAGCGCUUCAUUCCUUAUGUGGUGAAGGAAUUUGAACCCUUGAUUCAGAAGCCUUACACAAUUGUCUAUCUUCACUCUGCUGCAUCUUUGCAAGUACAACCAGAUCUUGGAUGGAUGAAGCGGUUAGAACAGAUACUUGGUCGUAAACACCAACGUAAUCUGCAUG